rnacentral:rRNA from 1 species
UACAGAGGUCCCAAGCGUUGUUCGGAUUCAUUGGGCGUAAAGAGCGUGUAGGCGGUUAGGUAGGUGGGUUGUGAAAACUGGAGGCUCAACCUUCAGACGUCGACCCAAACCCCCUGGCUAGAGUCCGGAAGAGGAGAGUGGAAUUCCUGGUGUAGCGGUGAAAUGCGCAGAUAUCAGGAAGAACACCCGUGGCGAAGGCGGCUCACUGGACCGGAACUGACGCUGAGGCGCGAAAGCGUGGGGAGCAAACAGG